AACGAACGCUGGCGGCAUGCCUAACACAUGCAAGUCGAACGAGACCUUCGGGUCUAGUGGCGCACGGGUGCGUAACGCGUGGGAACCUGCCCUUAUGUUCGGAAUAACUCCCCGAAAGGGGUGCUAAUACCGGAUAAUGUCUUCGGACCAAAGAUUUAUCGCCUUUGGAUGGGCCCGCGUUGGAUUAGCUAGUUGGUAGGGUAAAAGCCUACCAAGGCGACGAUCCAUAGCUGGUCUGAGAGGAUGAUCAGCCACACUGGGACUGAGACACGGCCCAGACUCCUACGGGAGGCAGCAGUGGGGAAUAUUGGACAAUGGGCGAAAGCCUGAUCCAGCAAUGCCGCGUGAGUGAUGAAGGCCUUAGGGUUGUAAAGCUCUUUUAACCGGGAUGAUAAUGACAGUACCGGGAGAAUAAGCUCCGGCUAACUCCGUG
rnacentral:rRNA from 1 species